AAGAAGUCAGGCCGGUUUAAGCCAUAGUACGGUAAGAGCUAUGCUGCCUGUGAGCCCCGUCCAAGGACGUAAAAUGAAGUCAGGCCGAAAGCCACGGCUUGAGCAAACCGUGCUGCCUGUGGCUCCAUCGUGGGGAUGUAAAAACCCGGGAGGCUGUAACCCAUGGAAGCUGUACGCAUGGGGUAGCAGACUAGUGGUUAGAGGAGACCCCUCCCAAGAUACAACGCAGCAGCGGGGCCCAACACCAGGGGAAGCUGUACCCUGGUGGUAAGGACUAGAG
rnacentral:lncRNA from 1 species